AACGAACGCUGGCGGCAUGCCUAACACAUGCAAGUCGAACGAGACCUUCGGGUCUAGUGGCGCACGGGUGCGUAACGCGUGGGAAUCUGCCCUUGGGUUCGGAAUAACAGUUAGAAAUGACUGCUAAUACCGGAUGAUGACUUCGGUCCAAAGAUUUAUCGCCCAAGGAUGAGCCCGCGUAGGAUUAGCUAGUUGGUAGGGUAAAGGCCUACCAAGGCGACGAUCCUUAGCUGGUCUGAGAGGAUGAUCAGCCACACUGGGACUGAGACACGGCCCAGACUCCUACGGGAGGCAGCAGUGGGGAAUGUUGGACAAUGGGCGAAAGCCUGAUCCAGCAAUGCCGCGUGAGUGAUGAAGGCCUUAGGGUUGUAAAGCUCUUUUACCCGGGAUGAUAAUGACAGUACCGGGAGAAUAAGCCCCGGCUAACUCCGUGCCAGCAGCCGCCGUAAGAC
rnacentral:rRNA from 1 species